rnacentral:lncRNA from 1 species
GAUCAGCGCGUUCAAUCAACCAAACAAACAAACAAACUCUUCAGCUUUAUAAUAUUAAUAAUAUAAUAUAGAUUUACUGACUAAUAUGAUGAACAUCUGUCAUGCACCAAUCUGAAAGGUUUUGCUGAACAAUCACCUACCGGUAUAUCUGACACCAAACAAUUUAAUUCUUGUAUAAUUACAUACCAUCAUUACAUAAUGUGUAUUGAUAUAUGUCACUUUCUAUUUCAGAUCCGGUUUACAAAGUCCUCCAGUUAUUUGAGAAAAAAAGAUUACAGAGAACCUCUCCACAGAGCAUCUCUCUUAUGUUUAAGGUAACAAUUUGGAAGCCUCUUCAAAACAAUUACGUAUAACAUGUAUAACAUUCUUAUAAUUUAUAUUGAAAAUAAAGAUAAUUAUUAUUUUA